rnacentral:rRNA from 1 species
GAUGAACGCUAGCGGCAGGCUUAACACAUGCAAGUCGAGGGGUAACGAUGGUGCUUGCACCAGUCGACGACCGGCGCACGGGUGAGUAACGCGUAUGCAACCUGCCCGUAACUUGAGAAUAGCCCGGAGAAAUUCGGAUUAAUGCUCAAUAAUAUUUCAUAGAGGCAUCUCUAAGAUCUUAAAGUUUUUAACGGUUACGGAUGGGCAUGCGUAGCAUUAGUUUGAUGGUGAGGUAACGGCUCACCAUAUUGGCUAUGAUGCUUAGGGGGUCUUAAAGGAUGGUCCCCCACACUGGUACUGAGACACGGACCAGACUCCUACGGGAGGCAGCAGUGAGGAAUAUUGGUCAAUGGGCGGAAGCCUGAACCAGCCAUGCCGCGUGAAGGAUGACUGCCCUAUGGGUUGUAAACUUCUUUUAUACGGGAAGAAACCUGAUUACGUGUAAUCAGCUGACGGUACCGUAAGAAUAAGCAUCGGCUAACUCCGUGCCAGCAGCCGCGGUAAUACGGAGGAUGCAAGCGUUAUCCGGAUUUAUUAGGUUUAAAGGGUGCGCAGGCGGGAAAGUAAGUCAGGGGUGAAAUCCUACAGCUCAACUGUAGAACAGCCUUUGAUACUGUUUUUCUUGAGUACAGUUGAGGUAGGCGGAAUGUGUAGUGUAGCGGUGAAAUGCAUAGAUAUUACACAGAACACCGAUUGCGAAGGCAGCUUACUAAACUGUUACUGACGCUCAUGCACGAAAGCGCGGGUAGCGAACAGGAUUAGAUACCCUGGUAGUCCGUGCCGUAAACGAUGAAUACUCGUUGUCUGCGAUAUACUGUAGGCGACUGAGCGAAAGCAUUAAGUAUUCCACCUGGGGGGUACGUUGGCAACAAUGAAACUCAAAGGAAUUGACGGGGGCCCGCACAAGCGGAGGAACAUGUGGUUUAAUUCGAUGAUACGCGAGGAACCUUACCCGGGUUUAAAUGCAGGACGAAAGAUUCGGAAACGGAUUCUCCUUCGGGCGGACUGCAAGGUGCUGCAUGGCUGUCGUCAGCUCGUGCCGUGAGGUGUCGGGUUAAGUCCCAUAACGAGCGCAACCCCUGUCGUUAGUUGCUAACAGGUCAAGCUGAGGACUCUAACGAGACUGCCGCCGUAAGGUGUGAGGAAGGCGGGGAUGACGUCAAGUCAGCACGGCCCUUAUAUCCGGGGCUACACACGUGUUACAAUGGUCGAUACAAAGGGCAGCUACACGGCGACGUGAUGCCAAUCUCAAAAAUCGAUCUCAGUUCGGAUUGUAGUCUGCAACUCGACUGCAUGAAGUUGGAUUCGCUAGUAAUCGUAUAUCAGCAACGAUACGGUGAAUACGUUCCCGGGCCU